AUGAACGCUGGCGGCGUGCCUAAUACAUGCAAGUCGAGCGCACAGACGAGGAGCUUGCUCCUCUGACGUUAGCGGCGGACGGGUGAGUAACACGUGGAUAACCUACCUAUAAGACUGGGAUAACUUCGGGAAACCGGAGCUAAUACCGGAUAAUAUAUUGAACCGCAUGGUUCAAUAGUGAAAGACGGUUUUGCUGUCACUUAUAGAUGGAUCCGCGCCGCAUUAGCUAGUUGGUAAGGUAACGGCUUACCAAGGCAACGAUGCGUAGCCGACCUGAGAGGGUGAUCGGCCACACUGGAACUGAGACACGGUCCAGACUCCUACGGGAGACAGCAGUAGGGAAUCUUCCGCAAUGGGCGAAAGCCUGACGGAGCAACGCCGCGUGAGUGAUGAAGGUCUUCGGAUCGUAAAACUCUGUUAUUAGGGAAGAACAAAUGUGUAAGUAACUAUGCACGUCUUGACGGUACCUAAUCAGAAAGCCACGGCUAACUACGUG
rnacentral:rRNA from 1 species